rnacentral:rRNA from 1 species
GCUUAACACAUGCAAGUCGAGGGGCAGCAUGGUCUUAGCUUGCUAAGGCCGAUGGCGACCGGCGCACGGGUGAGUAACACGUAUCCAACCUGCCGUCUACUCUUGGACAGCCUUCUGAAAGGAAGAUUAAUACAAGAUGGCAUCAUGAGUUCACAUGUUCACAUGAUUAAAGGUAUUCCGGUAGACGAUGGGGAUGCGUUCCAUUAGAUAGUAGGCGGGGUAACGGCCCACCUAGUCUUCGAUGGAUAGGGGUUCUGAGAGGAAGGUCCCCCACAUUGGAACUGAGACACGGUCCAAACUCCUACGGGAGGCAGCAGUGAGGAAUAUUGGUCAAUGGGCGCAGGCCUGAACCAGCCAAGUAGCGUGAAGGAUGACUGCCCUAUGGGUUGUAAACUUCUUUUAUAAAGGAAUAAAGUCGGGUAUGUAUACCCGUUUGCAUGUACUUUAUGAAUAAGGAUCGGCUAACUCCGUGCCAGCAGCCGCGGUAAUACGGAGGAUCCGAGCGUUAUCCGGAUUUAUUGGGUUUAAAGGGAGCGUAGAUGGAUGUUUAAGUCAGUUGUGAAAGUUUGCGGCUCAACCGUAAAAUUGCAGUUGAUACUGGAUAUCUUGAGUGCAGUUGAGGCAGGCGGAAUUCGUGGUGUAGCGGUGAAAUGCUUAGAUAUCACGAA